AGAUUGAACGCUGGCGGCAGGCCUAACACAUGCAAGUCGAGCGGUAGAGAGGUGCUUGCAUCUCUUGAGAGCGGCGGACGGGUGAGUAAUGCCUAGGAAUCUGCCUAGUGGUGGGGGAUAACGUUCGGAAACGGACGCUAAUACCGCAUACGUCCUACGGGAGAAAGCGGGGGACCUUCGGGCCUCGCGCCAUUAGAUGAGCCUAGGUCGGAUUAGCUAGUUGGUGAGGUAAUGGCUCACCAAGGCGACGAUCCGUAACUGGUCUGAGAGGAUGAUCAGUCACACUGGAACUGAGACACGGUCCAGACUCCUACGGGAGGCAGCAGUGGAGAAUAUUGGACAAUGGGCGAAAGCCUGAUCCAGCCAUGCCGCGUGUGUGAAGAAGGUCUUCGGAUUGUAAAGCAACUUUAAGUGGAGGAAGGUUGUAACCUAAUACGUUGCAACUUUGACGUUACCGACAGAAUAAGCACGGCUAACUCGUGCCAGCAGCCG
rnacentral:rRNA from 1 species